rnacentral:piRNA from 1 species
AGUAUUUAAGAAAACUGUUGUGGC